rnacentral:rRNA from 1 species
GACGAACGCUGGCGGCGUGCUUAACACAUGCAAGUCGAACGGAAAGGCCCUGCUUUUGUGGGGUGCUCGAGUGGCGAACGGGUGAGUAACACGUGAGUAACCUGCCCUUGACUUUGGGAUAACUUCAGGAAACUGGGGCUAAUACCGGAUAGGAGCUACUGCUGCAUGGUGGGGGUUGGAAAGAUUCGGCGGUUGGGGAUGGACUCGCGGCUUAUCAGCUUGUUGGUGGGGUAGUGGCUUACCAAGGCUUUGACGGGUAGCCGGCCUGAGAGGGUGACCGGCCACAUUGGGACUGCGAUACGGCCCAGACUCCUACGGGAGGCAGCAGUGGGGAAUAUUGCACAAUGGGCGGAAGCCUGAUGCAGCAACGCCGCGUGCGGGAUGACGGCCUUCGGGUUGUAAACCGCUUUCGCCUGUGACGAAGCGUGAGUGACGGUAAUGGGUAAAGAAGCACCGGCUAACUACGUG